AGAGUUUGAUCAUGGCUCAGAGCGAACGCUGGCGGCGUACUUAACACAUGCAAGUCGUACGAGGAUCGUCGGGUUAGCAAUAAUUCGUCGGUUCGAGUGGCGCACGGGUGAGUAACACGUGGGUAGCCCACCCUUGAGACCGGGAUACCCUCUCGAAAGGGAGGCUAAUACUGGAUACGUUCCCUGGGACGCAAGAUCUGGGGAGGAAAGGUGGCGAAAGCUGCCGCUCUUGGAGGGGCUCGCGGCCUAUCAGCUAGUUGGUGAGGUAACGGCUCACCAAGGCUAUGACGGGUAGCUGGUCUGAGAGGACGACCAGCCACACGGGAACUGAGACACGGUCCCGACUCCUACGGGAGGCAGCAGUGGGGAAUUUUCCGCAAUGGGCGAAAGCCUGACGGAGUGACGCCGCGUGGGGGACGAAGGCCUCCGGGUCGUAAACCCCUGUCAGAGGGAAAGAAGGGUGUCGGCGUGAAUAGCGCCGGCAUUUGACGGUACCUCAGAGAGC
rnacentral:rRNA from 1 species